rnacentral:rRNA from 1 species
GAUGAACGCUGGCGGCAUGCCUAACACAUGCAAGUCGGACGGGAAGUCGUGUUUCCAGUGCCGGACGGGUGAGUAAGUCGUAAGAAGCUGCGCUUGGGAUGGGAACAUCAUCUGGAAACGGCUGUUAAUACCCCAUAGUCUGAGUAGUAAAAGAUGCAAUCCGCCCAAGAAGGGGCUGGCGCUUGAUACGUUAGGUGGUGAGGUAAUGGCUUACCAAGGUGACGAUCAGUAGCUGGUCAGAGAGGAUGUGCAGCCACGCUGUGACUGAGACACGGGCCAGACUGGGACUGGAGGACGGAGCAGGGACUUUCGGGAGACGGGCGUGGGGAAGAUCCAGCCAUAGGGGGAAGCUUAACAAGGCAUUGCGGCGUGAAAGCAGAAGUGUCGGGAGUGAAGAGCUUCUUUUCAAGACGACGAUAUAAUGACGGUACCUAAAGAAUAAGCACCGGCUAACUCCGUG